AUAAAUUCAACAAAGAUUUUUUUUCUCUGUCUAGGUAUGAGCAUGUGCCCUCUCCUAAACUGUGAGUACCAAUGCCACAAGACACCAUAUGGAGGAGAUUGUUUUUGCCCUCCGUCUUAUAUCAUCAACCAAAAUGACAGUCGCACCUGUGUUGGUAAGUGACAAGUGGGAGCUCCUGGCUUUUCAUCACAGUUUACUGAUGGGCUCCAGGAUCCUGACAUGCAGGAGUUUGUAAUUGUGGGUAG
rnacentral:lncRNA from 1 species